CUUUUUUUUUUUUUUUUGGUACCAGGAAUCAAACUCAGGAUCUUGAACUUGCCAGGCGGACGCUGUGCCGCUGAGCUACAUCCCUGGGCGCCAAUUUCAAUGAUCUGCACAGAAAGAGCAGUGCUGUUUGUGGAUCUGGGUUUUCACCAAGGUCUUCUUGCCUAUGUUUUAACUGGCCGGAGAUCCAGACGGACAUAAAUCUGGGAAGGGGCCACAGAGGGGAGGUGUUGUCUUCGGUACGGGCAUUUUAUAUCUUGAAAACCUCAAGCAUAACAUUUGCAAGAUUUCUAUCAGACUUGCCAAGGACUAACCAUCAAGUCGUCCACAACCAGUACCUUGAUGAUUAACUGUAUUUCAGCCUUGAGGUUGGUUUGCUGCACUUUCAGAAAUUUUGGCAAAAAGGUUAUAAUGUCAAAUGGAUUUAAACAUAUAUUUAAACAUUAAUUACACUCAUGAACCUACUCUAUAGUGCCCGACUAGUAUGCAAACCCCAUGAGAUUAAAGACAACACGAGUCACUCCUAUGUACAGAAUGCAUUUUUUGCCGUACAUACUUAUAAACUUUUAUAAGAUUGUGAUUUCUGGUUUAGGUUUAUUGUAAUGAUUAAUUUUAAUGUGUCAAUUAGACUACAUUACAGACUAUCCAGAUGUGAUUAAAUAAUAUCAAGAGUG
rnacentral:lncRNA from 1 species